AUGCAGCUGAAGCGGCUCCCCGUCAGGCUCAGGAGGAGGCGCGCGGGUUCCCGGCAGCGGGCGGAGGCCGAAAAGAAGGCUCCGGUUCGAGGUCGGGGCGGGCCCGUCGUCCACUCUGCACUUCUGCGGGGAGUCGGCCAACGGCAGUCGCCCCCGGCUCUGGAGGCGUUCCGGGGGAGGUGGCCCCGCGCUCCGGCGCGGGGAGCGUAGAGCCCCGGCGCCCGGCAGUCUGGGAAAGCGUUUCGAAAGAAACAAAAAAAGUGGGCGACGGAGGAGAGACGCUGCGGUCCCUCGCACGUCGCGGCGCGGGCCCGCCCGAAAGGGCGGGCUGGGCCUCUCCCGUCGGGUCGGCAUCCGAGGCGGCGACUGCUCGUCAGUGGCCGUCGACGGUUCCGUCGCCUCCGGCGGGAGGCGGGUCACACCACG
rnacentral:rRNA from 1 species